rnacentral:misc_RNA from 1 species
AGUUUAACAGGAAGAUCGAGACGUGGUGGAUGCUGCACGACAAGAAAGUGUAGACAACAAAACAGAUUAACAGACCAACGUGGUCUUAAAGGAUUUGCUUUCUCGGCAGGAUUAGAUAAGUAUGUCUGGGAGAGGUAGAGCAAGAGCACGAGGAAGAGCCCGGGGGGCCUCGGAGGACCAGGCCCGGCGCCCAGGGGAGCAGCCUGCCCCCCAGCAACAGCCCCCACAGCCUUCUUCUGCCCCUGCCCCCGCACCGGCUGGUGGACCCCCAGCAGCCAGUGGAAGAGCCUCCUACAGGGGUGGUGCCAAGGAACCACGCCCAGGGAUUGCCAGCGGGAGCGGUGAUGUGCCUGCUGAUGCACUCUCCAAGAUGUCCAUAGGAACCAAGGACGCAGGGGAGAGAAGGGACCGACUGUUCUAUAGUGACCCAGAGUGUAAGCCAGCAUGGCUGUCAGACAAACGAGGAACUUCCGGCCGUGCUUUGCCGGUGGUAACCAACUACUUCAAGUUGGAAAUGACACCCGACUGGCACCUCUACCAAUAUGAUGUGAAGUUCAACCCACCCAUUGACUCCAGGAAAAUGAGGAUGGCACUGCUGAUGACACAUGAGAAUUUACUGGGCCGAACAAAAGCGUUCGAUGGCAUGAUUCUGUAUCUGCCACAUCGUCUCCAGGAACAGGUGACUGAGGUGUUCAGUGUGAGGAAGACGGACGACGUACAGAUCCGGAUCACAAUAACGUUAACCAAUGAACUGCCUCCUUCCUCCCCCCAAGUCAUGCAGGUGUACAAUAUCAUCUUCAGAAGGGUGCUGGCAAUGAUUGAGAUGAAGCAGAUUGGUCGUAAUUACUUCAACCCUGCCUUGUCUGUGGACAUUCCCCAGCACAAACUAACGGUGAUGCCCGGGUUUGUGACGGCCAUCGCCCGCUAUGAGACAGACACCCUGCUAUGUGCGGACAUCAGCCACAAGAUCAUCCGUUCGGACACACUGCUGGACCUGAUGUACGAACUGUACCAACAAGCCCGGGGGGACUCUUUCUAUGACGACUGCGUCAGGAAGUUUGUCGGCUCCAUUGUCCUGACCAGGUAUAUACAACAACAAGACGUACCGAGUAGAUGACUUUGAUUGGGACAAGAGACCCGAUCAUUCCUUCAAACUCAGGAACGACACCACCAUUACCAUCGCUGAGUAUUAUAAAAAGAGCUACAAUAUAGAGGUGAAAGACAUGAACCAGCCAUUGGUUGUAUCUCGACCCAAAAAGAAGGAUAUUAGAAUGGGGCGUACGGAGCCGAUUUUCCUCCUCCCAGAACUCUGUACCGUGACAGGUUUGUCGGAUGAAGCCAGAGCUGACUUUGGCGUGAUGAAAGAUGUCGGUGCUCACACUCGAGUCCCCCCUGAGGGCAGGAACAGGACUCUACAGGGCUUCAUCAACCAAAUUAACCAGAAUGAAAAAGUGAAAGCAGAAAUGCAGGGCUGGGGACUAGCAUUCUCUCAGACUCUGAUGACACUGAAUGCUAGAGUUGCGCCCCAGGAGAAUAUAUAUCAAAAAAACAAUGCCCAGCUGAGUUACCGACAGGAGGAUGCAGACUGGAGCAGAGACAUGAGGGGUAAACAGCUGAUCACGCCGGUCAACCUGGAGAACUGGGUCAUUGUCUUCACUCGCAGGAACAGUGCCCAGGCCCAAGAUCUGGUCCAGACCCUGAGCAGAGUGGGGCCACCCAUGGGGAUGCGUAUCAAUUCCCCCACGAUAUGUGAACUUCAAGACGACCGCAACGAUUCCUACAUCACUGCUCUGAAGCAGUAUGUCACCCCUCAAACCCAGCUAGCCUUGACCAUCCUCCCAACAAACAGGAAAGAUCGAUACGAUGCAAUCAAGAAGUUCUGUUGUGUGGAUCACCCAGUUCCUAGCCAGUGUGUUGUCCAGAGAACUCUGUCAAAGAAGCAGAUGUUGAUGUCGGUGGCCACGAAGAUCGCCAUUCAGCUCAACUGUAAGCUCGGGGGAGAGGUCUGGUGCCUGGACAUUCCACUCAAGAAUCUGAUGGUGGUUGGGAUAGAUUCUUACCAUGAUUCUAGCAAGAAAGGCCGUUCUGUGGGGGGAGUGAUCGCCUCCAUGAACCAGGCACUCACUCGAUAUUACUCGAGGUGCACGUUCCAACAUUCCAUGCAGGAGUUGAUGGAUGGCCUCAAAGUUUGCAUGAAAGGGGCCCUGGAGAAGUACCAUGAGGUGAAUGGUGUUUUGCCGGAGAGGAUCAUCGUGUUCCGUGACGGUGUCGGUGAUGGUCAGCUGCGAGCAGUGUUUGAACAUGAAGUCCCUCAGCUCAACGAAUGCUUCAAGAGGAGCGGAGGCCAAGACUACAAUCCAAAGGUCGCUAUAGUAGUUGUGAAGAAGAGGAUCAACACCCGAUUCUUUGCCAGGAGCGGCCCCUCCCUAAACAACCCGUGCCCAGGGACCAUAGUUGACACAACCGUCACCAGACCCAUAUGGUAUGACUUCUUCUUGGUGUCGCAGUCUGUGAGGCAGGGAACAGUGACCCCCACCCACUACAACGUGAUCUGGGACACCACCGGACUGAAGCCUGACCACAUGCAGCGCCUGGCCUACAAAAUGUGCCACCUCUACUACAACUGGCCGGGAACCAUCCGAGUCCCUGCUCCCUGCCAGUACGCCCACAAGCUGGCCUUCCUGGUGGGACAGUCCAUUCACAAGGACCCGCACAUGGCUCUGUCUGACCGCCUUUACUUCCUGUAAGCCAAUGGCAGCGACUUGUGAGCCAUAAACCAGACCAAUCAAAGCAGAAGGAUCAGGUGAUCACUGCCAGCCCCGGUACUGGACACUCAAGCCAGUCCAGGCCAGGAAACUACCUCCAGUAACCACAUGUGUUCAUACCAUUUUAUAAGUAGUCAGUAGAUUUUAUAACCAUUGUUUUUAAGGUGAGAAUGAAGUGUUACAUUUAAUGAUGUAUCUGGUGCUUAACAUGAGUUCAUGUACAUGUAAGUUUUGUAGGUAAAUGAGAGAUUUGCUUUUAUACUGGAUGAUGUGGUUGUAUUUUGAAAGCAGCUAGAUUUUAGUAUUUUUUUGUUGUUUUGAGAAAGAAUUGUUGUUUGCGAAAUCAGAUAAUGCCAUAAGUCGCAAAUAAUAGAAACGAUAGUCAUCUGUAAAAUAUUGAAUGAAUCCAAUGGUAGCCAAAAAAAAUAAGAAAAACAGAAAGUUAUUACUGAUAUACAUGAGUCAUCAGUAGCAAAUAAUGAUAAAUUAUUAGUCAUUUGUUUAAUACUCUUUUAUAAUGCCAUAUGUUUUAAAAAAAAUGUGAGAAUGACAAAGCUUAUUUUUUUUCACAGUUAUCAUUAAAACAUUUUGUUUGGUGCAAUUUUUGCAAAAAUGUUAUGUACUGAUAGACUAGAAAACUGUUCAAAUAAAAAGUUAUGAUUAU